CCUACGGGUGGCUGCAGUGGGGAAUAUUGGACUAUGGGCGAAAGCCUGAUCCAGCCAUGCCGCGUGUGUGAAGAAGGCCUUCGGGUUGUAAAGCACUUUCAGUGGGGAAGAAAGCCUUGGGGCUAAUACCCUCGAGGAAGGACAUCACCCACAGAAGAAGCACCGGCUAACUCCGUGCCAGCAGCCGCGGUAAUACGGAGGGUGCGAGCGUUAAUCGGAAUUACUGGGCGUAAAGCGCGCGUAGGCGGUCUGAUAAGCCGGUUGUGAAAGCCCCGGGCUCAACCUGGGAACGGCAUCCGGAACUGUCAGGCUAGAGUGCAGGAGAGGAAGGUAGAAUUCCCGGUGUAGCGGUGAAAUGCGUAGAGAUCGGGAGGAAUACCAGUGGCGAAGGCGGCCUUCUGGACUGACACUGACGCUGAGGUGCGAAAGCGUGGGUAGCAAACAGGAUUAGAUACCCGGGUAGUC
rnacentral:rRNA from 1 species